AUCAACUUUCGAUGGUAGGAUAGAGGCCUACCAUGGUGGUAACGGGUAACGGGGUGUUAGGGCACGACACCGGAGAGGGAGCCUGAGAAACGGCUACCACAUCCAAGGAUGGCAGCAGGCGCGCAAAUUACCCAAUCCCGACACGGGGAGGUAGUGACAAUAAAUAACAAUACGGGGUUCUUUCGGAUCUCGUAAUUGGAAUGAGUACAAUUUAAAUCUCUUAACGAGGAACAAUUGGAGGGCAAGUCUGGUGCCAGCAGCCGCGGUAAUUCCAGCUCCAAUAGCGUAUAUUAAAGUUGUUGCAGUUAAAAAGCUCGUAGUUGAAUUUCGGGGUUAGUAGGUUGGUCAUGCCUCUGGUAUGUACUGGUCUCACUGAUUCCUCCUUCCUGAUGAACCGUAAUGCCAUUAAUUUGGUGUUGCGGGGAAUUUGGACUGUUACUUUGAAAAAAUUAGAGUGUUUAAAGCAAGCUAACGCUUGAAUACAUUAGCAUGGAAUAAUGAAAUAGGACGUUCGAUCCUAUUUUGUUGGUUUCUAGGAUUGACGUAAUGAUUAAUAGGGAUAGUUGGGGGCAUUAGUAUUCAAUUGUCGGAGGUGAAAUUCUUGGAUUUAUUGAAGACUAACUACUGCGAAAGCAUUUGCCAAGGAUGUUUUCAUUAAUCAAGAACGAAAGUUAGGGGAUCGAAGACGAUCAGAUACCGUCGUAGUCUUAACCAUAAACUAUGCCGACUAGGGAUCGGAUGAUGUUAAUUUUUUAAUGACUCAUUCGGCGCCUUACGGGAAACCAAAGUGUUUGGGUUC
rnacentral:rRNA from 1 species